UGAGGUGUUUAGAACAAGUGCGAAGGGACUGAGACGUGGAGGGCACAGUCCUUGACAUGUUCCUGGGUUCCACAAGUACUGUGGACAGCCCACGCACUCUCCCUUCCUGGACACCUGGGACCGACCCACACAGUCACACAGAGCUGGGCUCUCGUGCAUCCUGCUUCUCUACUCUACUUUCGGGAGCUGACAUAAUGUUGGCACAGGAAGUCCUAAUCCGGAAUGGUUUUGUUUGUUGUGCUUCCUCAGGAUUUCCUUGGAUCUGGAGACCCUAAAGAAACAAAGAUGCUCAUCACCAAGCAGGCCGACUGGGCCAGAAACAUCAAUGAGCCCAAAGCCGCGGUGGAGAUGUACAUCUCGGCAGGGGAGCAUGCCAAGGCCAUAGAGAUCAGCGGCAGCCAUGGCUGGGUUGACAUGUAUGUCUCAGCCCUUGCUUGACAACAGUGUGGAGGCAGUGUGUUAACUCUUGAGGUUUUGACUGACAAGAAAAAUUGUUUCUCUAAAUAUAUGCACCAAACAUGAAAAUG
rnacentral:lncRNA from 1 species